rnacentral:ncRNA from 1 species
AAAGGCUUGGUCCUAGCCUUAAUAUUAAUUUAAAUUAUGAUUAUACAUGCAAGCCUCAACACCCCAGUGAGAAUUCCCAUUAUUACCACAAAGCAAUAACGGAGAAGGUAUCAGGCACCAAUAGCCCAAAACACCUUGCUAAGCCACACCUCUACAGGAAAUCAGCAGUAAUAAACAUUGAAUAUAAGUGUAAACUUGAUUCAGCAAUAAUUUUUAGAGCCGGUAAAUCUCGUGCCAGCCACCGCGGUUAUACGAAAGACUCAAAUUAAUAUGUGCGGCCCAAAGAGUAGUUAUAGAAAACAAGUAGGGAUAAGAACUAUCUAAGCUGUUAUACGCAUAAUAUAGUCAAAAUAAAAUUACCCUAGUAUACUUGAAGCUACCACAGCCAUGAGACAAACUGGGAUUAGAUACCCCACUAUGCCCGGCCAUAAACUUAGGAACACCCGCCAGAGCACUACGAGCCACAGCUUAAAAUUCAAAGGACUUGGCGGUGCCAUACAACCAUCUAGAGGAGCCUGUUCUAUAAUCGAUAAUCCCCGAUAAACCUCACCACCCCUUGCCAAUACAGCCUAUAUACCACCGUCUUUAGCUCACCCUUCAAAUGAUAAAUAGUAAGCAAAAGUAUUUAAAAUAAAAAAGUCAGGUCAAGGUGUAACACAUGGGAUGGGAAGAAAUGGGCUACAUUUUCUAAAUAGAAAAUACGAAAUAUUUUAUGAAAUAAGAUAUGAAGGAGGAUUUAAUAGUAAAAAUAAAAAAGAGUGUUAUUUUUAAAUAGGCAAUAUGGCGCGCACACACCGCCCGUCACCCUCUUCAAACAACACUAAAUUAAAUAAAAUAUUACUUUACAAGAAGAGGUAAGUCGUAACAUGGUAAGACUACCGGAAGGUGAUCUUGGACAU